CUGACUGUAAUAACCCAAGUAUUAUGAUUAUUAUUAUUAAUUGAGUACCCUUAAGUUCUGAUUAAACUAAGUAUAGUUUAACUAAGAGAUUGUGAGAAAAUAAAAUGAAAAGGGGGUAUUUUGGUAAAUGGUAUAAUGGUAGAAAGGAAAAAAUCAUUUUCUCUUCCCCUUUUCUUUUCUUCUGUGCGUACGCGUACAUCCCUCACCCUCCAUGACCAAAAUUUCUUCACACUCCAUCCAUGGAAGAAAGGGUGCAUGCAAAGGUUUCUUAAAACAAUAGGUUCCUUCAGCUUCUUAGAGGCUUCAAUCAAAGGAAUCAAGGGUUAGGGUUUCAAGUAAGAAGACAAAAAGGAAGAAAAGGGUUGAUACUCAUUUGGUGUUAAAGUUUGCUUUUCCUUCACCAUCUUCACUUACCCAUCAAGAAUCACCUUCAAGAAGUCAAGGAGCCUCUGCGCCUCUGUUGAGCCCUUGGUGGAUAUGAUGAAGUUACUAGCCUGGAAAUGGUUCAUGGCGAAGUGUCAUGCUAGCUCUUGCUCCUUCUAUGCGUGGGAAGUGCAACCUGUCAUGUGCUGGACCUAGUAGGGUCCUGUGAUGGUACUCGUCUUGUCCGUGCUUGGGGAGAGGGGUGGGGCUUCUGCCUUGUAUUUUUGGUAUUUUUCAACUAUCUAUUUUCUUUCCUUUGUUGCUUGGUUCGUUUUCCAUUUCAGACUUUGCGGCUAGGUUUGGUGUUUGACUUUGUACCCGCUUUCUUCGUGUUUAUAUAUAUUUCAAAUUUUCCAUUCAAAGAAAAAGAAAAAAAAAAAUAGCUUAUUGCUUAAAGCUUAUCAUUUUUUCUCUCAAUUUCAAUCGGCUAGCUUAUCAGUUAUCCUCUAUAAGCUAGCUUAUCAGUUAUCCGCUAUUUUUGAACCUCAACCAAAAUUAGCAAUACAUAACAUAACAAAAACAUCAAAACCUACAUUGCAAUACUAUAAAUACUUUAAACAUAUGUAAAUUUUUUGUUUAUAUACCUCGAGACGCCCCGAAGAAACCAACUCAGGGAUAGGAUACUUGUGCUGAUUCUGUAACUGCUUUUGUUCAACAGAACGUGUUUCAGAGGUAACAGCAAGAAGAGUACAAGUUUGUUUAGAAGUUCCUUGUGGCUGAAACUGCAACAUCGUUUAAGCUAAAACAACAACACAUGAACUGAUUAAAAAAGUGAUUAUCAAAAUAAGCUGAAAUGUAGUAAAAAAACGAAUCAAAUUACAUGAAAUUGUACUUGAGGUUGAAUUCCGAUGAGAAAAACAGCUUUAGAGUGAAAUUGUGAAGGAAUUGUGUUGCAUCGAUGAAGAGAGAAAUUGAAGUGUGAGAAAGUUGAAACCCUAACGCAAUGUGUGGAUUGGGAUUUGAGAUUGAAGAUUGAUUCAACAAAGAACAAGAGAAUUUGGAUUUUCUAUUUUCCUUUUUUUCAUGUUCUUGUUCUCAAGGUUAAACGACGUCGUUUUUGGAUCUCAUUUCUAGAAAUAUCUCUAAAAUGUUGUUCAUACUCAAACCAAUCUAGAAAGAAGGUUGGAAUGUUCUUUUGUAAAAAUUUCAUAUCGAAUUUUGGAUUGUUUUUUCAAUAUCGAUAUUUGUUAUGCUAUUAUGAUAGUGAUUUCUUUCAAUGAAGUUAAUUUUACAAUAACUUCUUAUGUUACUAAAUUAGGUUAAUGUCAGUCCUGGUAAGCAUAGCUCAAUUGGCAGGGACAGUGCAUUAUUAUAUAUUGGGAAAGAAGGUAGGCCCUCCGACUUCCUACGUGAAGGUGAUGUUCUAAAGGGUAACAUUAAAUCUAGAUUCGGGAAGGGGGUAGGCCCUCCGACUUCCUACGUGAAGAUGUUGUUUCCUUAAAACCAAUAGAUCUCAGUUUAAACUCAAAACUUUUGCAAAUGGCACGUGUGCAAAUUGGAUAAGGUCAAAAUGACCACAAAUACUCACAUCUCUCAUACGAAAUGAAGAAAGAACUUUUCUCGGUUGGUUUAGUCUUAAGGUUAGAACCUGUUUCCUCAUAAUAUCUAUCUUAUACAGGAGCAAGAAAAGGGUUGGACUACACACACACUCACUUGAGACUUGAUUGUUGGGUUGAAUAAAGAUUACAAAGAAUGCUUGAGUUAGUAAUUAGUGUACGCUUGAAAUAAAAGCCUCGGAGGAGACAUGAGUUUUAAUUUUAAUUGUCAUAUAAUUAUCUUGUUUAUGCUACCAUGUUUAUGUCUUUUGCUUGAGGACAAGCAAAGAUUCAAGUGUGGGAGUUUGAUGAGUCAAUAACUUACCUA